AACGGCCAUACCAUGCUGAAUAGACCGGUUCUCGUUAGAGAGUCAAGCAUCAUUUGGCGCGGUCAGUACUUGGGUGGGUGACCACCUGGAACACCGCGUGCCGUU